rnacentral:rRNA from 1 species
CCUACGGGUGGCAGCAGUGAGGAAUAUUGGUCAAUGGGCGCGAGCCUGAACCAGCCAAGUAGCGUGAAGGAUGACUGCCCUACGGGUUGUAAACUUCUUUUAUAAAGGAAUAAAGUGAGGCACGUGUGCCUUUUUGUAUGUACUUUAUGAAUAAGCAUCGGCUAACUCCGUGCCAGCAGCCGCGGUAAUACGGAGGAUCCGAGCGUUAUCCGGAUUUAUUGGGUUUAAAGGGAGCGUAGAUGGGUUGUUAAGUCAGUGGUGAAAUUUUGGGGCUCAACCGGCAAAGUGCAAUUGAUACUGGCAGUCUUGAGUACAGUUGAGGUAGGCGGAAUUCGUGGUGUAGCGGUGAAAUGCUUAGAUAUCGCGAAGAACUCCGAUUGCGAAGGCAGCUUACUAAACUGCCACUGACAUUGAUGCACGAAAGUGUGGGUAUCAAACAGGAUUAGAUACCCCUGUAGUC